rnacentral:lncRNA from 1 species
GGGGACGCUCCGGGGCGAGGAGUUUUCGGUCUGCAGUCACCCGGCCCCGGGAGCCAAGCUACAGGAGGAAGACGGGCCGGGACAGGGGUGGUGCUCGCCAGGCCCCCUGCAACCUGGGUACCCGCUAGCUCUCUUGUCCCCGCACCCCGACGCUGGGCACACAACUCCGGCUGCUUCCCGAGCGCCGCUCCGGGAACGGGCACAUCCCAGCAGCUGUCUGCCGGACAGGUCUUGGGAGACCGCGGUCCCUUUUCUGCAGCGGGUGGGGCGAGAAGCUACGGGAUGUGGACCUUCCAGAUAAGGGAGUGUCCCUGCCCGCCACACUGCAAGGGCGGCUGAGCGAUUAGGCGCGGCUAGCGGAACCGAGCGGCGGUGGCUGGGCUUUCCCCACGCUCCCGUCACUGUAGUUAAGCCGCCAGCCCCGCGGCAGCCGCUCCACAGCCCACUCCCGGGCCUGGGCUCUGACCCGAACGGCCGGCUCCGCCCUGUUGCACCUCAUAACAUCUCCCGCUGCAAACCGUCCAAUCCGGUGACGCUACGACAGUAUGCGAACCAAUCAAGGGCUACCGCUCAAGCCUUCUACCCCGCCCCCUCAGCCUCCCCUUCCCACUCCAUUUCGGGAGGUGGCUCACCAGCUCUGAUCCCUAGAGGAGCCUCUAGCUCUGGGGAUGGUGCUUGGCACCUCUUCACCACCCCCACCACCCCACCCCCGUCCUCUCGCUGUCUUAUGCACAUCCCCCCUCCAGGUCUCUGCCCUGCUGAUGCUGUUGAGGGUCCUUUCGAUCCUCAUUGACAGCUUUUGUGUCUGAUCAACUGACACCACCAUCCUGAGAGAACAGAACAAAAACCAAGAUGCUGUGGAACGUGUUACCUUUUU